AGACAUUUCUUCAAUCAGCCUCAACUUUUGCUUUUUCAGGCUGUUUUUCUUAGUUUUUCACAGGCCUGGUUUCUCAUCUCUCACAUCCCACCCCAUGACUCAAACACUCCAAGUUCUUCUUUGACCAUUGUGAUCUCAAAAGGUAUAGGGUAAAAGAAGACUGAAGGUUAGAGAGCAUAUAUCUCAUUGCUGUAAGGCAUAUUAAAAGCAAAAAUUUGCAUAAUAUCACAAUACUAAUGUUUACAAGCCAUCUUCCCCACCCCAUGAGUCCUGAGGAUCCCAGUGAUGUGACCCAUGACCCAGGGUUCCAUCCAUCAAACCAGUCCAUCAGUCCAAAUAAAAGAAGUUUU